UACGUAGGGUGCGAGCGUUAAUCGGAAUUACUGGGCGUAAAGCGUGCGCAGGCGGUCUGUUAAGACCGAUGUGAAAUCCCCGGGCUCAACCUGGGAACUGCAUUUGUGACUGCAGUGGCUAGAGUACGGUAGAGGGGAUGGAAUUCCGCGUGUAGCAGUGGAAUGCGCAGAGUAUCGAGGAGGAACACCGGUGGCGAAGGCGGGUCGCGUGG
rnacentral:rRNA from 1 species